UACGUAGGUGGCAAGCGUUGUUCGGAAUCAUUGGGCGUAAAGGGCGUGUAGGCGGUUUGUUAAGUCAUGUGUGAAAUCCCUCGGCUCAACCGGGGGAACGACGCAUGAAACUGGCAAGCUAGAGUACCAAAGAGGGCGGUGGAAUUCCCGGUGUAGAGGUGAAAUUCGUAGAUAUCGGGAGGAACACCAGUGGCGAAGGCGGCGAUCUGGGGAAGAUACUGACGCUGAGGUGCGAAAGCGUGGGGGAGCAAACAGG
rnacentral:rRNA from 1 species